AUAAUGCAAUUGGUCUCACAUUUUUUGGACCAAUAAUGAGUGAGAUAUAAUUUUUUGAAAUGAAAUGGAAUAAAAAAAUAAAAUGGAAAUUAAAAUCAGAAAUUAAAAAUAAUAAAAAAUGUGAGGCGUUGGAUCAGAAGCUCAUUAAUUGAGCUGGCACAUCACAUGGAUCAUAUGCGCGCAUCCACCAUACACUCAAGUCAAAGCGAAACACCUGGCCUUUAAAAAAG
rnacentral:lncRNA from 1 species